rnacentral:rRNA from 1 species
AGCAAUACGGAGUGGCGCACGGGUGAGUAACGCGUGGAUACCUGCCCCUUGGUGGGGGAUAACGCCGGGAAACUGGCGCUAAUACCGCAUACGCCCUUAGGGGGAAAGAUUUAUCGCCGAGGGAGGGGUCCGCGUCCGAUUAGCUAGUUGGUGAGGUAACGGCUCACCAAGGCGACGAUCGGUAGCUGGUCUGAGAGGAUGAUCAGCCACACUGGGACUGAGACACGGCCCAGACUCCUACGGGAGGCAGCAGUGGGGAAUAUUGGACAAUGGGGGCAACCCUGAUCCAGCCAUGCCGCGUGAGUGAUGAAGGCCUUAGGGUUGUAAAGCCCUUUCGGCGGGGACGAUGAUGACGGUACCCGCAGAAGAAGCCCCGGCUAACUUCGUGCCAGCAGCCGCGGUAAUACGAAGGGGGCUAGCGUUGUUCGGAAUUACUGGGCGUAAAGGGCGCGUAGGCGGUCUUGCACG